ACUUAAAUUGAAGAGUUUGAUCAUGGCUCAGAUUGAACGCUGGCGGCAGGCCUAACACAUGCAAGUCGAGCGGUAGCACAGAGAGCUUGCUCUCGGGUGACGAGCGGCGGACGGGUGAGUAAUGUCUGGGAAACUGCCUGAUGGAGGGGGAUAACUACUGGAAACGGUAGCUAAUACCGCAUAAUGUCGCAAGACCAAAGUGGGGGACCUUCGGGCCUCAUGCCAUCAGAUGUGCCCAGAUGGGAUUAGCUAGUAGGUGGGGUAACGGCUCACCUAGGCGACGAUCCCUAGCUGGUCUGAGAGGAUGACCAGCCACACUGGAACUGAGACACGGUCCAGACUCCUACGGGAGGCAGCAGUGGGGAAUAUUGCACAAUGGGCGCAAGCCUGAUGCAGCCAUGCCGCGUGUGUGAAGAAGGCCUUCGGGUUGUAAAGCACUUUCAGCGGGGAGGAAGGCGUUAAGGUUAAUAACCUCAUCGAUUGACGUUACCCGCAGAAGAAGCACCGGCUAACUCCGUGCCAGCAGCCGCGGUAAUACGGAGGGUGCAAGCGUUAAUCGGAAUUACUGGGCGUAAAGCGCACGCAGGCGGUCUGUCAAGUCGGAUGUGAAAUCCCCGGGCUCAACCUGGGAACUGCAUUCGAAACUGGCAGGCUAGAGUCUUGUAGAGGGGGGUAGAAUUCCAGGUGUAGCGGUGAAAUGCGUAGAGAUCUGGAGGAAUACCGGUGGCGAAGGCGGCCCCCUGGACAAAGACUGACGCUCAGGUGCGAAAGCGUGGGGAGCAAACAGGAUUAGAUACCCUGGUAGUCCACGCCGUAAACGAUGUCGAUUUGGAGGUUGUGCCCUUGAGGCGUGGCUUCCGGAGCUAACGCGUUAAAUCGACCGCCUGGGGAGUACGGCCGCAAGGUUAAAACUCAAAUGAAUUGACGGGGGCCCGCACAAGCGGUGGAGCAUGUGGUUUAAUUCGAUGCAACGCGAAGAACCUUACCUGGUCUUGACAUCCACAGAACUUUCCAGAGAUGGAUUGGUGCCUUCGGGAACUGUGAGACAGGUGCUGCAUGGCUGUCGUCAGCUCGUGUUGUGAAAUGUUGGGUUAAGUCCCGCAACGAGCGCAACCCUUAUCCUUUGUUGCCAGCGGUUCGGCCGGGAACUCAAAGGAGACUGCCAGUGAUAAACUGGAGGAAGGUGGGGAUGACGUCAAGUCAUCAUGGCCCUUACGACCAGGGCUACACACGUGCUACAAUGGCAUAUACAAAGAGAAGCGACCUCGCGAGAGCAAGCGGACCUCAUAAAGUAUGUCGUAGUCCGGAUUGGAGUCUGCAACUCGACUCCAUGAAGUCGGAAUCGCUAGUAAUCGUAGAUCAGAAUGCUACGGUGAAUACGUUCCCGGGCCUUGUACACACCGCCCGUCACACCAUGGGAGUGGGUUGCAAAAGAAGUAGGUAGCUUAACCUUCGGGAGGGCGCUUACCACUUUGUGAUUCAUGACUGGGGUGAAGUCGUAACAAGGUAACCGUAGGGGAACCUGCGGUUGGAUCACCUCCUUACCUUAAAGAA
rnacentral:rRNA from 1 species